UAGAUACCCUGGUAGUCCACGCCCUAAACGAUGAAUGUUAGUCGUCGGGUAGCUAGUCUAUUCGGUGAUGCAGCUAACGCAUUAAACAUUCCGCCUGGGGAGUACGGUCGCAAGAUUAAAACUCAAAGGAAUAGACGGGGACCCGCACAAGUGGUGGAGCAUGUGGUUUAAUUCGAAGAUACGCGAAGAACCUUACCUAGCCUUGACAUAUUUUAGAACUCCGUAGAGAUACAGAGGUGCCUUCGGGAGCUAAUUUACAGGUGCUGCACGGCUGUCGUCAGCUCGUGUCGUGAGAUGUUGGGUUAAGUCCCGCAACGAGCGCAACCCUCGUCACUAGUUACUAACGGUUCGGCCGAGGACUCUAGUGAGACUGCCUUCGUAAGGAGGAGGAAGGUGAGGACGACGUCAAGUCAUCAUGGCCCUUACGGCUAGGGCAACACACGUGCUACAAUGGCCAGGACAGUGAGACGCGAUACCGCGAGGUGGAGCAAAUCUAUAAACCUGGUCUCAGUUCGGAUUGUAGUCUGCAACUCGACUACAUGAAGCUGGAAUCACUAGUAAUCGUAGAUCAGCUAUGCUACGGUGAAUACGUUCCCGGGUCUUGUACUCACCGCCCGUCACACCAUGGGAGUUGAUUUCACCCGAAGCGGGGAAGCUAAACUGGCUACCCUCCACGGUGGAAUUAGCGACUGGGGUGAAGUCGUAACAAGGUA
rnacentral:rRNA from 1 species